AUUCCUCUCUCAUCAUAAUCAACAGUGACAUAUUCUUCAGGGUCAUAUUCAGGGUCAUUGUCCUCCAAAUCUAAUCGCUCACCCUUUCCAUAUUGAUCGAUUGACUCUUUCACAUCAUCCACCUUGUUGUUCUGUACAGGUUUGGCAUUCAACGGUUGCUCAGGCUCCUCAUGCUUUUGUUCAGGGACUUUGAAUUCUUGUUUGAGCUCUACCGCGUUAUCCUUACUCUCUUCUUCCAUUGGUUCCUGAAGAGACUUUGGCUUGGCACGAGAUGUACGGCGACCUCCUUUGGAUCCAGAACCUGUAGGUGUCUUUCUCGCUGAUUUUGGAGGCAUAGUUGGU
rnacentral:misc_RNA from 1 species